rnacentral:rRNA from 1 species
GAUGAACGCUGGCGGCGUGCCUAAUACAUGCAAGUCGAGCGGACGGACGAGAAUCUUUCUUCUCUUCUGUUAGCGGCGGGCGGGUGAUUAACACGUGUAUAACCGACCUAUAAGACUAGGAUAACGUCAGGAAACCUGAUCUAAUACCGGAUAAGAUUUUGAACCGCAGGGUUCAAAGGUGAAAGAGGUUCUUGCUGUCACUAAUAGAUGUAUCCGCGCUGCAUUAGCUAGUUGGUAAGGUAACGGCUUACCAAGGCAACGAUGCGUAGCCGACCUGAGAGGGUGAUCAGUCACACUGGAACUGAGACACGGUCCAGACUCCUACGGGAGGCAGCAGUAGGGAAUAUUGGGCAAUGGGCGAAAGCCUGACGCAGCAAUGCCGCGUGUGUGAUGAAGGUCUUCGGAUCGUAAAGCUCUGUUAUUAGGGAAGAACAUCUGUGUAAGUAAACGUGCCUAUUUUGACGGUACCUACUCAGAAAGCAACGGCUAACUACGUG